GGUUGCGAUCAUACCAGCACUAAUGCACCGGAUCCUAUCAGAACUCCGUAGUUAAGCGUGCUUGGGCGAGAGUAGUACUAGGAUGGGUGACCUGUCACACCCCCAAAAUCCACCCG
rnacentral:rRNA from 1 species